AACGAACGCUGGCGGCAGGCCUCAUACGUGCAAGUCGAGCGAUUAAGACUCCUUCGGGAGUGUAUAAAGCGGCGAACGGGUGAGUAACAGGUGGAUGAUCUACCUUCCGGUGGGGGAUAACGGCUGGAAACGGCCGCUAAUACCGCAUUCGGUUAAUACGCUGUGGCGUAUUAAAGAAAGGCGCCUCAAAGCGCCGCCGGGAGAUGAGUCCGCCCCCCAUUAGCUAGUUGGUGAGAUAACAGCUCACCAAGGCAACGAUGGGUAGCCGAACUGAGAGGUUGAUCGGCCACACUGGAACUGAGACACGGUCCAGACACCUACGGGUGGCAGCAGUAGGGAAUAUUGGGCAAUGGGCGAAAGCCUGACCCAGCCAUGCCGCGUGAGUGAUGAAGGUCCUAGAGAUUGUAAACUGCUUUUCCAGGGGAGAAACUUUCCGAUGCAUCGGGAUUUGACGGUACCCUGGGAAUAAGCAUCGGCUAACUCCGUGCCAGCAGCCGACGGU
rnacentral:rRNA from 1 species